UACGUAGGGUGCGAGCGUUAAUCGGAAUUACUGGGCGUAAAGCGUGCGCAGGCGGUUUUGUAAGACAGGCGUGAAAUCCCCGGGCUCAACCUGGGAAUGGCGCUUGUGACUGCAAGGCUGGAGUGCGGCAGAGGGGGAUGGAAUUCCGCGUGUAGCAGUGAAAUGCGUAGAUAUGCGGAGGAACACCGAGGGCGAAGGCAAUCCCCUGGGCCUGCACUGACGCUCAUGCACGAAAGCGGGGAGAGAACACAGGAUUAGAUACCCGUGGAGUCC
rnacentral:rRNA from 1 species